GACAGAGGGUGCAAACGUUGUUCGGAAUUACUGGGCGUAAAGCGCGUGUAGGCGGCCUUGCAAGUCGGAUGUGAAAGCCCACGGCUCAACCGUGGAAGUGCAUCCGAAACUGCAUAGCUUGAGUCUCGGAGAGGAAGGUGGAAUGCUUGGUGUAGAGGUGAAAUUCGUAGAUAUCAAGCAGAACACCUGCGGCGAAGGCGGCCUUCUGGACGAUGACUGACGCUGAGACGCGAAAGCGUGGGGAGCAAACAGG
rnacentral:rRNA from 1 species